GAGAGUGCAGGUGCAUAGGUCUUAGG
rnacentral:piRNA from 1 species